rnacentral:rRNA from 1 species
GACGAACGCUGGCGGCGUGCUUAACACAUGCAAGUCGAACGGAAAGGCCCUGCUUUUGUGGGGUGCUCGAGUGGCGAACGGGGGAGUAACACGUGAGUAACCUGCCCUUGACUUUGGGAUAACUUCAGGAAACUGGGGCUAAUACCGGAUAGGAGCUCCUGCUGCAUGGGGGGGGAUGGAAAGUUUCGGCGGUUGGGGAUGGACUCGCGGCUUAUCAGCUUGUUGGUGGGGUAGUGGCUUACAAAGGCUUUGACGGGUAGCCGGCCUGAGAGGGUGACCGGCCACAUUGGGACUGCGAUACGGCCCAGACUCCUACGUGAGGCAGCAGUGGGGAAUAUUGCACAAUGGGCGGACGCCUGAUGCAGCAACGCUGCGUGCGGGAUGACGGCCUUCGGGUUGUAAACCGCUUUCGCCUGUGACGAAGCGUGAGUGACGGUAAUGGGUAAAGAAGCCCCGGCUAACUACGUG